rnacentral:lncRNA from 1 species
AAGAAUAAAGAAAGGUAUGCCUUUUAAAAGUGGAGGGGUCAGAGUACAGCAACAAGGAAUCACAAUUUUCAGUGAGUCCAAUUGAUAAAGGUUAAGAGGCUGAAACAAGGAAAUAAAAAUGUGUGAGACCAAAUGUAUCAGAUUGAUGUUGCUGAUGGAUCUUUUCGUUGUGGUUGUAACUUAUUAGUGGAUCGUUGUUACUUUUU